CUUGUUUAUGAGCCUGGAAGCCACGAAGUGGUGGGAAAUACGAGAUUCAAAUAUCUGGUGGCCGUGUGACAGGGCAUCUUCAUGUGUGGGCACCAGGGCUGCGGCUGGAACCACAGUGGACACCCCACGCUCCAAGGACAAUCCUCUGCAGAAACCAGCAGCUGGAAACAAUUCUUAAUGCUGCAGGAAGUAGUUAGGAGAAAACGACUGUGUAAGUCAGAGCUAAAACUGGAGUUCAAAAACCACAGAAAAUAUUUCCAAGGCUGUCUGUGAAGUGGGGAUGUCAAAAUACCAAAAAUUACAGCUUUGGAACUGCAGUGGAUGACCUUUAAUUGAUGCAGUUUAUAGGUGCUAAGUAUUGUGUGUGCUUUACGUUGCCUCAUGUGAGUGCUUCAUAGCAGGGUGUGACGCUGGCCAAGUGAUAUACCUACCCUCUUUGUCCCUGUUUCUAUCAACUGUAAAAUGGGGGUUCUAGAGUUGUUGUGAAGAUUAAAUGAGCUAAUACACACAAAGCACCAAGAACAAUGCUGGAUACAAGGUAAUAGGUGUUUCUUCCUAGACUUCACUAUCCUCAUGUGAGGUGGGUAUGUUUAUUUAUUUAUUUGGGGACAGGGUCUCGCUCUAUCACCCAGACUGGAGUGCAGUGUUGCAAUCAUGGCUUAGCUCCCUACAGCUUUUUAAAUUUAAUUAUUUAUUAUUAUUAUUUUUUUGAGAUGGAGUCUCACUCUGUCACCCAGGCUGGAGUGCAGUGGCACGAUCUCUGCUUACUGCAAGCUGGGCCUCCCGGAUUCACACCAUUCUCCUGCCUCAGCCUCCUGAGUAGCUGGGACUACAGGCGCCUGCCACCACGCCCAGCAUAUUUUUGUAUUUUUAGUAGAGGCGGGGUUUCACCGUGUUAGUCAGGAUGGUCUCGAUCUCCUGACCUUGUGAUCUGCCCACCUCGGCCUCCCAAAGUGCUGGGAUUACAGGCGUGAGCCACCGUGCCUGGCCUCAGCUCCCUACAGCUUUGACCUCCCCAGCUCAAGUAAUGUCCCACUUCAGCCUCCCGAGUAGCUGACACUACAGGAAUGCACCAUCAUGUAUACCUGUGGUCCUAGCUACUUGGGAAGCUGAGGUGGGAAGAUUGCCCCUGAAAUAAGACUCUAGAUACAGGUCCCUUUCUCUGAAAUUUUUGAAACAAAACGCCUAAUUCAAAAAAAGUUAUUUUUGGUAGAGACGGGGUCUCACUAUGUUUCCCAGGCUGAUCUCAAACUUGGGUUCAAGCCAUCCUCCCUCAUUGGCCUCCCAAAGUGUUGGGAUUAUAGGCAGGAGCCACUGUGCCUGUCCAAGGUGGGUGUUGAUAUAUUCAAUUUAACACAGAAAACAGGAAGUUUGUACACACUGACUUGCCCAAGGCUACACAACUACAAAGAGUCAGGUAGCCAACAUUCAGUCUCAAGGUCUGUGUCUGCAGAGCUCAAGGCCUUUCCUUUGGCUUUGCUGUCUCUUGGCAUCUGGUAGCUUAGCAGUCAUCAAGCCAACCCCGUCAUGUUACAGAGGAGGACACAGGCUUCCAGGGGAACUGACUGACUUGAGUUCUACACAUCAGUGCAGAGCUGGGACUAGAAUUCUGUCCACCUAACUGUAUUUGGAAGAAAGUUAAGUGCUAUUGACUACACCUAAUAUCUGAAAGAUAAAGGGAGAGGCAGAAGCAAGAAUGAAUAAUGUGGCUGGGCGCGGUGGCUCACGCCUUUAAUCCCAGCACUUUGAGAGGCCGAGGCAGGUGGAUCACGAGAUCAGGAGUUCAAGACCAGCCUGACCAACAUGGUGAAACUCCAUUUCUACUAAAAAUACAAAAAUUAGCCGGGCAUGGUAGCGUGCGCCUGUAACCCCAGCUACUAAGUAGGCUGAGGCGGGAGGAUCGAUUGAAGCCGGGAGGUGGAGGUUGCAGUGAGCCGAGAUCGCACCAUUGCACUCCAGCCUGGGCAACAGAGCGAGACUCUGUCAAAAAGAAAAAAAAAAGAAUGAAUAAUUUUUAAAGCAGGCUGUGAAGAACUAAAAACAUGAGGACACGGAAAUUCAGAAACACCCAUUUCAAUAUGAUUCCUUUCGGAUAA
ensembl:lncRNA LINC00921 long intergenic non-protein coding RNA 921